rnacentral:lncRNA from 1 species
GGAGGCAGGCAAGAAGUGAAAUCAGAAGACGGGAAGUGGCUGAGGGGAACGUCUUUUCUCUCUCCUGCUCAGCCCGAAGUGAACAGGUAGCAUCAGGUGUGCCAUUUCAGUGACUGGGCACAGCCCAGGCACCCACAUCUCUCUGCAGCGCCUAUUCUUGGAACACCAGAGACCUCUACACUAUUUUCUGUUGCUUUUUUCCUUCAUUUUCAGAGAUGAGAUCCUGGAUUGAAUGACUACUAUGGAAAGUGAUUGACCAAGGUAAGUCACAACUAUCUUGUUCUUUAAUUUUGGUGUUGUUUGUUAUGACUUGUUAGCCGUCUAGCACUCAUAGCUUUGCAUUUCCACUCUGCAUUACUUGUAUUUUUAUUAUUUUGUGAUAUUCGUAAUAAUUUAUUAUAAAACUGUGUUAUUUUUGGAUAUUUUUAAGUUAAAAUGCGAUUUUUUAACUAAGUGGCAGUAUGCAAAGCAAGUGGUUCAGAACUCUCCCCCAUUAAUAAGUCUUCUCUCCUGAAAGAAACAAUUUUGAGACUUCCUGUUCUUAAUUCUGUUUAACAGCAUACUUCUAAAAGAAAAAGUGUAUACUGUUAUUAUUUAUUGUGUUACAAAAAUAUACACGCACCUUUCAUGCACGUCCGUGUGAAGAGACCACCAAACAGGCUUUGUGUGAGCAAUAAAGCUUUUAAUCACCUGGGUGCAGGUGGGCUGAGUCUGACAAGAGAGUCAGCGAAGGGGGAUAGGGGUGGGGCCGUUUUAUAGGAUGUGGGUAGGUAAAGGAAAAUUACAGUCAAAGGGGGGUUGUUCUCUGGCGGGCAGAGUCGGGGUCAUAAGGUGCUCAGUAGGGGAGCUUUUGAGCCAGGAUGAGCCAGGAGAAGGAAUUUCACAAGACAAUGUCAUCAGUUAAGGCAGGAACAGGCCAUUUUCGCUUCUUUUGUGGUGGAAUGUCAUCAGUUAAGGCACGAACCGGCCAUCUGGAUGUGUACGUGCAGGUCACAGGGGAUAUGAUGGCUUAGCUUGGGCUCAGAGGCCUGACAUUCCUGUCUUCUUAUAUUAAUAAGAAAAAUAAAAUGAAAUAGGGGUAAAGUGUUGGGACAGCAAAAAUUUUUGGGGGUGGUAUGGAGAGAUAAUGGGUGAUGUUUCUCAAGGCUGCUUUGAGCAGGAUUAGGGGCGGCGUGGGAACCUAAAGUGGGAGCGAUUAAGCUGAAGGAAGAUUUUGUGGUAAGGGGUGACAUUGUGGGAUUGUUAAAAGAAACAUUUGUCAUUUAGAAUUAUUGGUGAUGGCCUGGAUACAGUUUUGUAUGAAUUGAAAAACUAAAGGGAAUAA